rnacentral:rRNA from 1 species
GACGAACGCUGGCGGCGUGCUUAACACAUGCAAGUCGAACGGAAAGGCCCUGCUUUUGUGGGGUGCUCGAGUGGCGAACGGGUGAGUAACACGUGAGUAACCUGCCCUUGACUUUGGGAUAACUUCAGGAAACUGGGGCUAAUACCGGAUAGGAUCUCCUGCUGCAUGGUGGGGGUUGGAAAGUUUCGGCGGUUGGGGAUGGACUCGCGGCUUAUCAGCUUGUUGGUGGGGUAGUGGCUUACCAAGGCUUUGACGGGUAGCCGGCCUGAGAGGGUGACCGGCCACAUUGGGACUGAGAUACGGACCAGACUCCUACGGGAGGCAGCAGUGGGGAAUAUUGCACAAUGGGCGGGAGCCUGAUGCAGCAACGCCGCGUGCGGGAUGACGGCCUUCGGGUUGUAAACCGCUUUCGCCUGUGACGAAGCGUGAGUGACGGUAAUGGGUAAAGAAGCACCGGCUAACUACGUG